CAAGAAAGUCAAAAGUAAAAAUAAUAAUGCCUGCCACGAAUCUAGCUUUUUGAAAAGCAAAGAUUCCCAAAUAAUCUUGUCGGCCAAAUGACAAUAAUGAUGCUUGAACCAAUAAUUUUUUAAUCCUGUAGAUCUAUAAUGCCAUAGCAAUCGUCUCCAUUAUCCCUGGUUAGGCUUUGAGACGAAUCUCCUGAGUCUUCAUCGUUGUUGAUGUCUGAAUGGAUAUUACAGGAUAUAAUGCCUCCCCCAAAAUUAGAGUCUAGACAACCUAGACAAUUUAUA
rnacentral:lncRNA from 1 species